rnacentral:rRNA from 1 species
GGACGGGUGAGUAACGCGUGAGAAUCUGCCCUGAGGAGGGGGAUAACUGCUGGAAGCGGCCGCUAAUGCCCCAUAUGCCGCCAGGUGAAAUGAAUUUCGCCUGAUGAUGACCUCGCGUCUGAGUAUCUAGUUGGUGGGGUAAGGGCCUACGAGGGCGACUGAUCAGUAACUGGUCGGAGAGGAUGAUCAGCCACACUGGGACUGAUACACGGCCCAAACUCCGACUGGAGGCAGCGAGGGGGAAUUUUCCGCAGUGGGGUAAAGCCGGACGGAUCAACCCCGCCGGGGGGAUGAAGGCCUCGGGGCUGUAAGCCUCUGUUCGCAAGGAAGAAGACCUGACGGGACUUGAGGAAUAAGCCACAGACUAGUUCCGUGCCAGUCAGCCGCGGUAAUACUUGAGUGGCAAGCGUUAUCCGAAUUAUUGAGCGUAAAGCGUCCGCAGGCGGUCCUGUAAGUCUGUCGUUUGAAGCGUGGAGCUUAAGUCCAUUUAAGCGAUGGAAACUACAGGGCUUGAUUGUGGUACGUGCAGAGGGAAUUCGCGGUGUAGCGAUGAAAUGCUUAGAUAUCGGUGAAGAACACCACGUGGCGAAGGCUCUCUGCUGGGCCAUAACUGACGCUCAUGGACGAAAGCCAGGGGAGCGAAAGGGAUUAGAUACCCCUGUAGUCCUGGCCGUAAACGAUGAACACUAGGUGUCGGGGGAAUCGACCCCCUCGGUGUCGUAGCCAACGCGUUAAGUGUUCCGCCUGGGGAGUACGCACGCAAGUGUGAAACUCAAAGGAAUUGACGGGGGCCCGCACAAGCGGUGGAGUAUGUGGUUUAAUUCGAUGCAACGCGAAAAACCUUACCAGGGUUUGACAUCCUGCGAAACCCCCGGAAACGGGGGGGUGCCUUCGGGAAC